CUCAAGUGCCAGACGACAAUUUAUCGUGGGUUUAUUUGACUUUGUAGGAACGGGGCGCUUUCCGUGGUGGAAGCGAGCAGGGAAACGGGCAGCGGGGGGAAAUGGAGAGUAUUGACCGGAGAAUUUGUGUCUGCCCUGCUCUGUUUUGCCUGGAAAAGGCUGAACUUUUCGUGUUCUGAAAAGCCAGAUGAACAGCACAAGUCAUUAGUCACCCAGAUCCACUCCACAAAUGAAAAGAAAGCACAGGAAGUGGGGACCACUGGGAGACUGGCUCGGGCCCAAACUAAGACACUGGUGUAGAUGCACCAGUGUUCAGGUUUGGAUCUUACUGGCAUGGUUCCUUCAGAUCCUCCAUUCAAGUACACAGACUUCAGAAGAGUGUGUUCUCGAAUCUCAUCUUCUGACAACAUGUUUUCCACCCUGUUCAAAUGAGCCCGUUCCCUGCAGAAGUUCACAUACCCUCCUCCUGGUCCUCAGCUGACAUCACUCCCUCCCACUGCAGAGAUGGGGGGAAAAUAUGUUUGAAAGCACCUCUCUGGCCUGGCUGUCAACAGAAAGUUAACUUAGUCUGCAAACCAAGCUAAUAUGUAGCUAUGAUGAAAGAUUACAGUAAGAGAGACAAGAGGGGAAAAAAAAGAAAAAGAGAUGGGAAGUCUUUGAAGAAGUCAACAAAAAGGAAACACUUUCAUGUAGUCUUAAUUCAGCAAAUCACUUCAGUUUCGUGCUCAACAUCCCAGAGAGGCAUCAGCACCUGGAGUGUGUGUAGGCAGAAGGUAGACAGAGAAAUGACUCACUGGUGCAGGAAUACAAGCCAGAGCAUCAUCUGUGGGAACUUUGGAAGGGAAAAGAAAGUGUCUAAUCUGACAGAAGGUUACAAAUCUUCAUGCUUGUUGCAAUGUGUGCAUCCAACCAACAGCAACAUUUUAAGAGCAGCCAAGGAAGCAUGAAGACAAAAAACUGUUUUAAGGAAAGCAAUCUGAAACCUAUAUUUGAUUCUACAGGCAAUAAAGCUUUUACCAGUGCUGAGGCAAAACUAGACCUGGCAGAAUGUGAUCUUUGCCUUGCUGCUAGCUCUCAGGUGAAAGCAAGCAGAGGUUUCCAGCAGAGCACAUUUUGUUUCCUCUACAGCUUAGAGGGCCUCUAUGUAGCGAGAAAGGACCUUCUUGUGGCCAUAUUCCACCCAUACCAGUGACAAUGCACAAGUGUGUCCUUCACUCCUCAGGCUCUUAGGAAGCACAGCCUUCCCUUUCUCCUGUCACAGAAGUUCUAGUGCCAAUAAAAAUAUAAAAUAGGCAUAA